AGUUAACGAUCUUGAUUAAAGUUU
rnacentral:tRNA from 1 species